GACGAACGCUGGCGGCGUGCUUAACACAUGCAAGUCGAACGGAAAGGCCCUGCUUUUGUGGGGUGCUCGAGUGGCGAACGGGUGAGUAACACGUGAGUAACCUGCCCUUGACUUUGGGAUAACUUCAGGAAACUGGGGCUAAUACCGGAUAAGAGCUCCUGCUGCAUGGUGUGGGGUGGAAAGUUUCGGCUGUUGGGGAUGGACUCGCGGCUUAGCUGCUUGUUGGUGGGGUAGUGGUUUACCAAGGCUUUGACGGGUAGCCGGCCUGGGAGUGUGACCGGCCCCAUUGGGACUGAGAUAAGGCCCAGAGUGCAACGGGAGGCAGCAGUGGGAAAUAUUGCACAAUGAGCCGAAGCGUAAUGCAGCAACGCCGGGUGCGAGAUGACGGUUUUCGGGUUGUAAACCGAUUUCGCCUGUGACGAAGCGUGAGUGACGGUAACGGGUAAAGAAGCACCGGCUAACUACGUG
rnacentral:rRNA from 1 species